UAAGGUUUGGGUUGUUGGCAAGACUCAAUAGUUGUUGGUUGACUGACCUCGAAACAAAAAUAUCUUUACUUUGAUUUGAUGAACACUUCAUUGCACUGAGUGAUUGGCAUAAGCUGCAGUUGAAAACACAGAUUUCCAUUCAUCGAUUCCACUGCUCCCUUUCCUAUCAUACAAUGGCAUUAGAAUGCGUUGGUGGUGCUUUUCUUUCUUCUUUCCUCGGGGCUGUGUGAUUCUUCUGCAUCACAUCCCUCAAGCUUGGGGGGUAUUAUAGUGUUACUCAUGUAAUGAUAGGGAACUUAGCCAACUUUGUGAUAUUGUUGUGGAGCCUCUCAGGGAUCGCAUAGUGACAAGUCUUCUUCAGGCAUCAUUGGAUGGCUUACUCCGUGUUAUCUUAGAUGGGGGUCCAUCAAGAGUUUUCUUUCCCGGUGAUGUAAAAUUAUUAGAGGAAUCUACAAUUUUCAACAGACUAAUCAGAUCUUUGGACUUUUGUACUUUUUUUCCCAAUAAAAAUGAGAGUUUGAGUAAGUUAAUAAUAUUUCAAUGUCAGUGAAUGAUGAUGUGCUUCUUGUAGGAAUUCUUUAUAUCUGGAGGUGACGGCCUCCCUCAGGGUGUUGUCGAAAAUCAGGUUGCACGUGUUCGGCAUGUGAUCAACUUGCAUGGCUAUGAGACCCGAGAGUUGAUUGAAGACUUGAAAUCUGCUAGUGGCAUGGAAAUGCAAGGUGGCAAAAGCAAACUGGGAACUGAUUCCAAAACUCUAUUAAGAAUAUUAUGCCACAGGAGCGACUCAGAAGCCUCUCAAUUUCUGAAGAAACAAUACAAAAUACCCAGUUCUUCUUCUUAGAGGAAUGUUUACAACAAAAGGGAACCAGCAAAAUUUUCACUUUGGGUAGGUUGAUAGUUUUCCGAAAAUAUCCCAAGAGCUAGCCAAGACAGAGAGCAAAAUGCAGCUGCUGUUAAUGUCAGUAUUUUAGGGAAGACUAUGGUUGACGGGCCAGCAAAGAAAAAGAUGUUCACAACCCAAAUUAAAGCAAUCGUACACAAACGCCUGACACACAACACGGAAGUUGAUCGAAGACUUGAAAUCUGCUAGUGGCAUGGAAAUACUCAGUUCAAUAUCAAAACUCUAUUGAGAAUAUCAUGUAACAGGAGUGACUCAGAAGCUUUUCAAUUCCUGAAGAAACAAUACAAAAUACCCAGUUCUUCUGCUUAGAGCGAGGGAUGAGUACAACAAAAGGGACCAGCAGAAUUUUCAUUUUGGUGGUAGCUUUCUGUGAAUAUCCGUUGCUGCCAAUAUGUCAUUUUUUGUCAGAAUUAUUAAAAUUAGGUAUUGGCCUAGGCGUUGCA